rnacentral:tRNA from 1 species
GGAGGGGCCAGCCGACGGCAGGCGCCGGCCACCGUCUCGAAAACGGUUGGGGUGUGAAAGCCCGUAGGAGUUCGAUCCUCCUUCCCUCCGCCA